UACGUAGGGUGCAAGCGUUGUCCGGAAUUAUUGGGCGUAAAGGGCUCGUAGGCGGUCCAUCACGUCGGGAGUGAAAAGCUGGGGCUUAACCCCAGUCCUGCUUCCGAUACGGGUGGACUAGAGGUAGGCAGGGGAGAACGGAAUUCCUGGUGUAGCGGUGAAAUGCGCAGAUAUCGGGAGGAACACCAAUUGCGAAGGCAGCUCGCUGGGACGUUACUGACGCUGAGACGCGAAAGCGUGGGGAGCAAACAGG
rnacentral:rRNA from 1 species